UACAGAGGGUGCAAGCGUUAAUCGGAAUUACUGGGCGUAAAGCGUGCGUAGACGGUCAUGUAAGUCGGGUGUGAAAGCCCCGGGCUCAACCUGGGAAUUGCAUUCGAGACUGCAUGGCUAGGGUGCGGAAGAGGGAAGCGGAAUUUCCGGUGUAGCGGUGAAAUGCGUAGAUAUCGGGAGGAACACCUGUGGCGAAAGCGGCGCACUGGACCACAACUGACGCUGAGGCGCGAAAGCUAGGGGAGCAAACAGG
rnacentral:rRNA from 1 species